UUGGAGGGCAAGUCUGGUGCCAGCAGCCGCGGUAAUUCCAGCUCCAAUAGCGUAUAUUAAAGUUGUUGCAGUUAAAAAGCUCGUAGUUGAAUUUCGGGAUUGACACAUCGGUCGUGCCUUAAGGGGUGUGAACUGGUGUAGUCAAUUUCUCACCUUCUGGAGAACCGCGAUGUCCUUAAUUGGGCGCCGCGAGGAACCAGGACCUUUACUUUGAAAAAAUUAGAGUGUUUAAAGCAGGCAUUUUUGCUUGAAUACAUUAGCAUGGAAUAAUAAAAUAGGACGGCAUGAUUCUAUUUUGUUGGUUUCUAGGAUCACCGUAAUGAUUAAUAGGGAUAGUUGGGGGCAUUAGUAUUCAAUUGUCAGAGGUGAAAUUCUUGGAUUUAUUGAAGACUAACUACUGCGAAAGCAUUUGCCAAGGAUGCUUUCAUUAAUCAAGAACGAAAGUUAGGGGAUCGAAGACGAUCAGAUACCGUCGUAGUCUUAACCAUAAACUAUGCCGACUAGGAAUCAGACGAUGUUAAUUUUUUAAUGACUCGUUCGGCGCCUUACGGGAAAC
rnacentral:rRNA from 1 species